AGCUUGCUUUUGAAGAUCAGCGGCGGACGGGUGAGUAACACGUGGGCAACCUGCCUGUAAGACUGGGAUAACUUCGGGAAACCGGAGCUAAUACCGGAUAAUCCUUUCCCUCACAUGAGGGAAAGCUGAAAGACGGUUUCGGCUGUCACUUACAGAUGGGCCCGCGGCGCAUUAGCUAGUUGGUGAGGUAACGGCUCACCAAGGCAACGAUGCGUAGCCGACCUGAGAGGGUGAUCGGCCACACUGGGACUGAGACACGGCCCAGACUCCUACGGGAGGCAGCAGUAGGGAAUCUUCCGCAAUGGACGAAAGUCUGACGGAGCAACGCCGCGUGAGCGAUGAAGGCCUUCGGGUCGUAAAGCUCUGUUGUCAGGGAAGAACAAGUACCGGAGUAACUGCCGGUACCUUGACGGUACCUGACCAGAAAGCCACGGCUAACUACGUGCCAGCAGCCGCGGUAAUACGUAGGUGGCAAGCGUUGUCCGGAAUUAUUGGGCGUAAAGCGCGCGCAGGCGGUUCCUUAAGUCUGAUGUGAAAGCCCCCGGCUCAACCGGGGAGGGUCAUUGGAAACUGGGGAACUUGAGUGCAGAAGAGGAGAGCGGAAUUCCACGUGUAGCGGUGAAAUGCGUAGAGAUGUGGAGGAACACCAGUGGCGAAGGCGGCUCUCUGGUCUGUAACUGACGCUGAGGCGCGAAAGCGUGGGGAGCGAACAGGAUUAGAUACCCUGGUAGUCCACGCCGUAAACGAUGAGUGCUAAGUGUUAGAGGGUUUCCGCCCUUUAGUGCUGCAGCAAACGCAUUAAGCACUCCGCCUGGGGAGUACGGCCGCAAGGCUGAAACUCAAAGGAAUUGACGGGGGCCCGCACAAGCGGUGGAGCAUGUGGUUUAAUUCGAAGCAACGCGAAGAACCUUACCAGGUCUUGACAUCCUCUGACAACCCUAGAGAUAGGGCUUUCCCCUUCGGGGGACAGAGUGACAGGUGGUGCAUGGUUGUCGUCAGCUCGUGUCGUGAGAUGUUGGGUUAAGUCCCGCAACGAGCGCAACCCUUGAUCUUAGUUGCCAGCAUUAAGUUGGGCACUCUAAGGUGACUGCCGGUGACAAACCGGGAGGAAGGUGGGGAUGACGUCAAAUCAUCAUGCCCCUUAUGACCUGGGCUA
rnacentral:rRNA from 2 species